UCGGCAAAUCACAUCAUGACUCCCGUACUCCUACUUCUUGUUUACAAGCAGGAACUAAUUUAGGAAGUACGUGUGACUCUCUCCGUUGAAAAAUGUUAAUCAGAAUCAGAGAUUAUGCUACAGGACUGCUUUGCUAGCGUUGAUUGGAAUAUGUUUCGAGACUCCGCCGAUAACAUUGACGAGCUAACCACCUCCUUCACCGGCUUCAUUAGAAAAUGUAUCAACGACAUUGUCCCAACAGUGAGGGUUUGCUGCUUCCCCAAUCAAAAGCCCUGGAUUAACACCAAGGUUGGCGCUAAACUAAAGGACAGGGCUAUCGCACGCAGAGCUAUCGUAGACAACCCUGAGGCUACGGUUGAGGACAGGAAUAACAUCUGGAUGUCUUGCCCACAUGUUGUCACAAACACAGCAUAGGAUCCUGGCUGAGCGUUGGGUCGGAGGUGAGCAUAUGCCAGUGUUUCAUCACUAUGUUUUUAAUCAUUAAAGCUUUGGGGGUGAACGUAGUAAUGCAAGUAACAGAGAACUCCUUCGAAAUUGUAACACUUUUUUUGAGUAUAUCCUGUCAAGGUUUAGAGAGCGCAAUUUGGUAUGCCUCUUCCACACACAGGGUGGAGUAACCCCUGUCCAGAAAACAUUGUUUCAUGUUGACAGCUUUAUCAAUAAAGUCCUAUAGAACUGG